rnacentral:rRNA from 1 species
UGAGUAACGCGUGAGGAUCUGCCCUUAGGAGGGGAACAACAGUUGGAAACGACUGCUAAUGCCCCAUAUGCCGAGAGGUGAAAAGUUUUAUCGCCUGAGGAUGAACUCGCGUCUGAUUAGCUAGUUGGUGGGGUAAAGGCCCACCAAGGCGACGAUCAGUAGCUGGUCUAAGAGGAUGAUCAGCCACACUGGGACUGAGACACGGCCCAGACUCCUACGGGAGGCAGCAUU